rnacentral:rRNA from 1 species
CAGUCGCCGCGGUAAUUCGUAGGUGGCAAGCGUUGUCCGGAAUUAUUGGGCGUAAAGGGCUCGCAGGCGGUUUCUUAAGUCUGAUGUGAAAGCCCCCGGCUCAACCGGGGAGGGUCAUUGGAAACUGGGAAACUUGAGUGCAGAAGAGGAGAGUGGAAUUCCACGUGUAGCGGUGAAAUGCGUAGAGAUGUGGAGGAACACCAGUGGCGAAGGCGACUCUCUGGUCUGUAACUGACGCUGAGGGGCGAAAGCGUGGGGAGCGAACAGGAUUAGAUACCCCGGUAGUCCCUGUCUCUUAUAC